GGUUAAGCGACUAAGCGUACACGGUGGAUGCCCUGGCAGUCAGAGGCGAUGAAGGACGUGCUAAUCUGCGAUAAGCGUCGGUAAGGUGAUAUGAACCGUUAUAACCGGCGAUUUCCGAAUGGGGAAACCCAGUGUGUUUCGACACACUAUCAUUAACUGAAUCCAUAGGUUAAUGAGGCGAACCGGGGGAACUGAAACAUCUAAGUACCCCGAGGAAAAGAAAUCAACCGAGAUUCCCCCAGUAGCGGCGAGCGAACGGGGAGGAGCCCAGAGCCUGAAUCAGUGUGUGUGUUAGUGGAAGCGUCUGGAAAGGCGCGCGAUACAGGGUGACAGCCCCGUACACAAAAAUGCACAUGCUGUGAGCUCGAUGAGUAGGGCGGGACACGUGGUAUCCUGUCUGAAUAUGGGGGGACCAUCCUCCAAGGCUAAAUACUCCUGACUGACCGAUAGUGAACCAGUACCGUGAGGGAAAGGCGAAAAGAACCCCGGCGAGGGGAGUGAAAAAGAACCUGAAACCGUGUACGUACAAGCAGUGGGAGCCUCUUUAUGGGGUGACUGCGUACCUUUUGUAUAAUGGGUCAGCGACUUAUAUUCUGUAGCAAGGUUAACCGAAUAGGGGAGCCGAAGGGAAACCGAGUCUUAACUGGGCGUUAAGUUGCAGGGUAUAGACCCGAAACCCGGUGAUCUAGCCAUGGGCAGGUUGAAGGUUGGGUAACACUAACUGGAGGACCGAACCGACUAAUGUUGAAAAAUUAGCGGAUGACUUGUGGCUGGGGGUGAAAGGCCAAUCAAACCGGGAGAUAGCUGGUUCUCCCCGAAAGCUAUUUAGGUAGCGCCUCGUGAAUUCAUCUCCGGGGGUAGAGCACUGUUUCGGCAAGGGGGUCAUCCCGACUUACCAACCCGAUGCAAACUGCGAAUACCGGAGAAUGUUAUCACGGGAGACACACGGCGGGUGCUAACGUCCGUCGUGAAGAGGGAAACAACCCAGACCGCCAGCUAAGGUCCCAAAGUCAUGGUUAAGUGGGAAACGAUGUGGGAAGGCCCAGACAGCCAGGAUGUUGGCUUAGAAGCAGCCAUCAUUUAAAGAAAGCGUAAUAGCUCACUGGUCGAGUCGGCCUGCGCGGAAGAUGUAACGGGGCUAAACCAUGCACCGAAGCUGCGGCAGCGACGCUUAUGCGUUGUUGGGUAGGGGAGCGUUCUGUAAGCCUGUGAAGGUGUACUGUGAGGUAUGCUGGAGGUAUCAGAAGUGCGAAUGCUGACAUAAGUAACGAUAAAGCGGGUGAAAAGCCCGCUCGCCGGAAGACCAAGGGUUCCUGUCCAACGUUAAUCGGGGCAGGGUGAGUCGACCCCUAAGGCGAGGCCGAAAGGCGUAGUCGAUGGGAAACAGGUUAAUAUUCCUGUACUUGGUGUUACUGCGAAGGGGGGACGGAGAAGGCUAUGUUGGCCGGGCGACGGUUGUCCCGGUUUAAGCGUGUAGGCUGGUUUUCCAGGCAAAUCCGGAAAAUCAAGGCUGAGGCGUGAUGACGAGGCACUACGGUGCUGAAGCAACAAAUGCCCUGCUUCCAGGAAAAGCCUCUAAGCAUCAGGUAACAUCAAAUCGUACCCCAAACCGACACAGGUGGUCAGGUAGAGAAUACCAAGGCGCUUGAGAGAACUCGGGUGAAGGAACUAGGCAAAAUGGUGCCGUAACUUCGGGAGAAGGCACGCUGAUAUGUAGGUGAAGCGACUUGCUCGUGGAGCUGAAAUCAGUCGAAGAUACCAGCUGGCUGCAACUGUUUAUUAAAAACACAGCACUGUGCAAACACGAAAGUGGACGUAUACGGUGUGACGCCUGCCCGGUGCCGGAAGGUUAAUUGAUGGGGUCAGCGCAAGCGAAGCUCUUGAUCGAAGCCCCGGUAAACGGCGGCCGUAACUAUAACGGUCCUAAGGUAGCGAAAUUCCUUGUCGGGUAAGUUCCGACCUGCACGAAUGGCGUAAUGAUGGCCAGGCUGUCUCCACCCGAGACUCAGUGAAAUUGAACUCGCUGUGAAGAUGCAGUGUACCCGCGGCAAGACGGAAAGACCCCGUGAACCUUUACUAUAGCUUGACACUGAACAUUGAGCCUUGAUGUGUAGGAUAGGUGGGAGGCUUUGAAGUGUGGACGCCAGUCUGCAUGGAGCCGACCUUGAAAUACCACCCUUUAAUGUUUGAUGUUCUAACGU
rnacentral:rRNA from 1 species